ACUUUAAUUGAAGAGUUUGAUCAUGGCUCAGAUUGAACGCUGGCGGCAGGCCUAACACAUGCAAGUCGAGCGGCAGCACAGAGAAACUUGUUUCUCGGGUGGCGAGCGGCGGACGGGUGAGUAAUGCC
rnacentral:rRNA from 1 species